UUGGGGGUUUAGGGUUAAAUAGAAGUUGACGUUGACAGAGAGCGUGAAGUUGUCGUCGUCGUGGGAGUUGUGGGUCCUUCUUCUGCUGCAAUCUCGAGUGGCCAGGUGAGUAAAAGAAGUUGGCUUUGUUGUUCUUUUUGUGAUUUUGGCUGGUGUGGUGGUCCCGUCGUUGUAUUUUGUUUCAUUUUUGAAAGCUUUUUUGUGGUCCCCCCAUGUUUAAAGUUAUUUUUGUAUUGUGUGAGUGCGUU
rnacentral:lncRNA from 1 species